GAUGAACGCUGGCGGCGUGCCUAAUACAUGCAAGUCGAGCGAACAGACGAGGAGCUUGCUCCUCUGACGUUAGCGGCGGACGGGUGAGUAACACGUGGAUAACCUACCUAUAAGACUGGGAUAACUUCGGGAAACCGGAGCUAAUACCGGAUAAUAUAUUGAACCGCAUGGUUCAAUAGUGAAAGACGGUUUUGCUGUCACUUAUAGAUGGAUCCGCGCCGCAUUAGCUAGUUGGUAAGGUAACGGCUUACCAAGGCAACGAUGCGUAGCCGACCUGAGAGGGUGAUAGGCCACACGGGAACUGAGACACGGUCCAGACUCCUACGGGAGGCAGCAGUAGGGAAUCGUCCGCAAUGGGCGAAAGCCUGACGGAGCAACGCCGCGUGAGUGAUGAAGGUCUUCGGAUCGUAAAACUCUGUUAUUAGGGAAGAACAAAUGUGUAAGUAACUAUGCACGUCUUGACGGUACCUAAUCAGAAAGCCACGGCUAACUACGUG
rnacentral:rRNA from 1 species